AUCGACACGGAGGGGGGGAGGAGGAGGAGGAGGAGGGGGAGGAGUGGAAUGUACCAAGUCACGGCUCCCCUGAGGUGAUGGUGCUCCCGCGUCAGACCUGUCGAGCUGAGGAAACUGGAUCUCCCGCUCCCCAAAGUGCUGGAGAGACCCGCGGUUGCAUGCCUAAGAUAUCUCCUCGGCUGGCAGUCCACUCCUCUGAGAUUUCACAGACUCAGCCAAGCACACAGAUGUGCGGUAAACCCAAACAACACAGUGACGCGGGUACGGAUCGCAGCAGCAGCAGCAGCAGC